rnacentral:rRNA from 1 species
GGUUAAGUUAGAAAGGGCGCACGGUGGAUGCCUUGACACUAGGAGUCGAUGAAGGACGGGACUAACGCCGAUAUGCUUCGGGGAGCUGUAAGUAAGCUUUGAUCCGAAGAUUUCCGAAUGGGGAAACCCACCAUACGUAAUGGUAUGGUAUCCUUAUCUGAAUACAUAGGAUAAGGAAGACAGACCCAGGGAACUGAAACAUCUAAGUACCUGGAGGAAGAGAAAGCAAAUGCGAUUUCCUGAGUAGCGGCGAGCGAAACGGAACAUAGCCCAAACCAAGAGGCUUGCCUCUUGGGGUUGUAGGACAUUCUAUACGGAGUUACAAAGGAACGAGGUAGACGAAGCGACCUGGAAAGGUCCGUCGUAGAGGGUAACAACCCCGUAGUCGAAACUUCGUUCUCUCUUGAAUGUAUCCUGAGUACGGCGGAACACGUGAAAUUCCGUCGGAAUCUGGGAGGACCAUCUCCCAAGGCUAAAUACUCCCUAGUGAUCGAUAGUGAACCAGUACCGUGAGGGAAAGGUGAAAAGCACCCCGGAAGGGGAGUGAAAGAGAUCCUGAAACCGUGUGCCUACAAAUAGUCAGAGCCCGUUAACGGGUGAUGGCGUGCCUUUUGUAGAAUGAACCGGCGAGUUACGAUCCCGUGCGAGGUUAAGCUGAAGAGGCGGAGCCGCAGCGAAAGCGAGUCUGAAUAGGGCGUUUAGUAUGUGGUCGUAGACCCGAAACCAGGUGAUCUACCCAUGUCCAGGGUGAAGUUCAGGUAACACUGAAUGGAGGCCCGAACCCACGCACGUUGAAAAGUGCGGGGAUGAGGUGUGGGUAGCGGAGAAAUUCCAAUCGAACCUGGAGAUAGCUGGUUCUCCCCGAAAUAGCUUUAGGGCUAGCCUUAAGUGUAAGAGUCUUGGAGGUAGAGCACUGAUUGGACUAGGGGUCCUCAUCGGAUUACCGAAUUCAGUCAAACUCCGAAUGCCAAUGACUUAUCCUUAGGAGUCAGACUGCGAGUGAUAAGAUCCGUAGUCAAAAGGGAAACAGCCCAGACCGCCAGCUAAGGUCCCAAAGUGUGUAUUAAGUGGAAAAGGAUGUGGAGUUGCUUAGACAACUAGGAUGUUGGCUUAGAAGCAGCCACCAUUUAAAGAGUGCGUAAUAGCUCACUAGUCGAGUGACUCUGCGCCGAAAAUGUACCGGGGCUAAAUACACCACCGAAGCUGCGGAUUGAUACCAAUGGUAUCAGUGGUAGGGGAGCGUUCUAAGGACAGUGAAGUCAGACCGGAAGGACUGGUGGAGUGCUUAGAAGUGAGAAUGCCGGUAUGAGUAGCGAAAGACGGGUGAGAAUCCCGUCCACCGAAUGCCUAAGGUUUCCUGAGGAAGGCUCGUCCGCUCAGGGUUAGUCAGGACCUAAGCCGAGGCCGACAGGCGUAGGCGAUGGACAACAGGUUGAUAUUCCUGUACCACCUCUUUAUCGUUUGAGCAAUGGAGGGACGCAGAAGGAUAGAAGAAGCGUGCGAUUGGUUGUGCACGUCCAAGCAGUUAGGCUGAUAAGUAGGCAAAUCCGCUUAUCGUAAAGGCUGAGCUGUGAUGGGGAAGCUCCUUAUGGAGCGAAGUCUUUGAUUCCCCGCUGCCAAGAAAAGCUUCUAGCGAGAUAAAAGGUGCCUGUACCGCAAACCGACACAGGUAGGCGAGGAGAGAAUCCUAAGGUGUGCGAGAGAACUCUGGUUAAGGAACUCGGCAAAAUGACCCCGUAACUUCGGGAGAAGGGGUGCUUUCUUAACGGAAAGCCGCAGUGAAUAGGCCCAAGCGACUGUUUAGCAAAAACACAGCUCUCUGCGAAGCCGUAAGGCGAAGUAUAGGGGGUGACACCUGCCCGGUGCUGGAAGGUUAAGGAGAGGGGUUAGCGUAAGCGAAGCUCUGAACUGAAGCCCCAGUAAACGGCGGCCGUAACUAUAACGGUCCUAAGGUAGCGAAAUUCCUUGUCGGGUAAGUUCCGACCCGCACGAAAGGUGUAACGAUUUGGGCACUGUCUCAACCAGAGACUCGGUGAAAUUAUAGUACCUGUGAAGAUGCAGGUUACCCGCGACAGGACGGAAAGACCCCGUGGAGCUUUACUGUAGCCUGAUAUUGAAUUUUGGUACAGUUUGUACAGGAUAGGCGGGAGCCAUUGAAACCGGAGCGCUAGCUUCGGUGGAGGCGCUGGUGGGAUACCGCCCUGACUGUAUUGAAAUUCUAACCUACGGGUCUUAUCGACCCGGGAGACAGUGUCAGGUGGGCAGUUUGACUGGGGCGGUCGCCUCCUAAAGUGUAACGGAGGCGCCCAAAGGUUCCCUCAGAAUGGUUGGAAAUCAUUCGUAGAGUGCAAAGGCAUAAGGGAGCUUGACUGCGAGACCUACAAGUCGAGCAGGGACGAAAGUCGGGCUUAGUGAUCCGGUGGUUCCGCAUGGAAGGGCCAUCGCUCAACGGAUAAAAGCUACCCCGGGGAUAACAGGCUUAUCUCCCCCAAGAGUCCACAUCGACGGGGAGGUUUGGCACCUCGAUGUCGGCUCAUCGCAUCCUGGGGCUGUAGUCGGUCCCAAGGGUUGGGCUGUUCGCCCAUUAAAGCGGUACGCGAGCUGGGUUCAGAACGUCGUGAGACAGUUCGGUCCCUAUCCGUCGUGGGCGUAGGAAAUUUGAGAGGAGCUGUCCUUAGUACGAGAGGACCGGGAUGGACGCACCGCUGGUGUACCAGUUGUUCUGCCAAGGGCAUAGCUGGGUAGCUAUGUGCGGAAGGGAUAAGUGCUGAAAGCAUCUAAGCAUGAAGCCCCCCUCAAGAUGAGAUUUCCCAUAGCGUAAGCUAGUAAGAUCCCUGAAAGAUGAUCAGGUUGAUAGGUUCGAGGUGGAAGCAUGGUGACAUGUGGAGCUGACGAAUACUAAUAGAUCGAGGACUUAACCAU